AGAGCGAACGCUGGCGGCAGGCCUAACACAUGCAAGUCGAGCGCGUGUAGCAAUACACGAGCGGCAGACGGGAGAGUAACACGUGGGAACGCGCCCUUCGGUUCGGAAUAACUCAGGGAAACUUGAGCUAAUACCGGAUACGCCCUUACGGGGGAAAGAUUUAUUGCCGAAGGAACGGCCCGCGUCCGAUUAGCUAGUUGGUGAGGUAACGGCUCACCAAGGCGACGAUCGGUAGCUGGUCUGAGAGGAUGACCAGCCUCACUGGGACUGAGACACGGCCCAGACUCCUACGGGAGGCAGCAGUGGGGAAUAUUGGACAAUGGGCGCAAGCCUGAUCCAGCCAUGCCGCGUGGAUGAUGAAGGCCUUAGGGUUGUAAAGCUCUUUUGUGCGGGAAGAUAAUGACGGUACCGCAAGAAUAACGCCCGGCUAACUUCGUGCCAGCAGCCGC
rnacentral:rRNA from 1 species